AACCGCGUUUCCCUGGGGACUUGGGCGCUACAGGCUCAACUGGGAAGCCGGGUGGCUGGAGAAAAAGCCGCCAAAAACCCCCCGGAAAGAAAAGAAAAAGCGGGGCCCUCGGGGCUUACUUGGCGUGGCAGGUACAGCAUCAUUGGAAUGUGCACAGCGGCCCAGCCUGGCAUCCCUCUCAGAGCACCUGUGGGUACAGGAAACUGAACAUGAAGAACAUCCCUCCCUGCUCUAGGGAAGGGCAGGAGGCUAUGAAAAGCAGUUUGGGGAGCAAGCUGGAAAUCUGCAGAGGGAAUACUAAAGACAUCAAUACUGUGCUCCCUUUCUUCUUUCUCUUUCCCUCAUACCAAGGAUUGAACCCAGGGUGCACUGAGCUACAUCCCCAGACCUUUUCUUUCUUUUUUUUGGGUACUGGGGAUCAAACUCCGGUCCUUCUGCUUGCGAGGGAGGCAGCGGAACCACUGAGCUAAA